rnacentral:tRNA from 1 species
UGCGCGCGAGCGGCGUGAGGCCCAGCGCCUCGGCCUUCUUCGCCGACAUCACGACCACGGCUGCCGCGCCGUCGUUCAGACCCGACGCGUUCGCAGCC